rnacentral:tRNA from 1 species
GCCUUCGUGGUGUAGCGGUGAACACGCUCGACAGGUAACCGAAAGGUCCUAGGUUCGAUUCCCGGCGAAGGCG